AUCAGGAUCUGUUCCGUGCCUGGACAUGGCGGCCCCGCCGGCUGCAGCCAUGCACCUCGCAGCUGGGACACGGGCAGCGCUCGGAGUGAGGGGGAGCGGAGGAGGAGGAUGUGGCCUCCGGGGUGCAGGGGGCAGAGGGCCCGGUGGGGAGGCAGAGCAGACCGGCUUGGCGGUGACCGAGACUGCGCAGUGCCGGGGCGGGGGCGGCGGUGGUGGCGGCUCCGGGUUGGCGGUGUGGGCUGCGCAGUCUGGGUGCUCGGUCUCGCUGCCUGCGCUCUGUCACCGCUGACUCAACACACAGCUCAGUUGCGGCAACCGCGCAGUGCCCCCCCCCAAUCACGUCAGCGGCGGGAGGGACAGGGUGUUCGACGUCAGCGCGUACAGCG